GGAGAUGGCUCAGUGGUAGAGCGCAUGGCUCAGCAUUCACCAAGUCCUGGGUUCAAUCCCUAGUACCUCCA
rnacentral:tRNA from 1 species